CACACCUGUCAGGUGGAUGGAGUAUCUUUGCAAAGAAAAAAUGCUCAACAACAGGGAUUUUUUAAACAAAUGUGUGAAAAACAUUUGAGAGAUAAGCUUUACAUCAACCUCCGCUGAUGAUGCCCUGAAGGACCUGAAGGAGGGCCUGUGUGGGAUGCAUUCCAAGCAGAACUGCAUUGUUUCAACAGAAGACGCAGACACCAGCUAUUUGUAGGCCCCAGUGGGGGGUUAACUCCGGCCUAAUCUCCGGUCUGCGGUACAUGUAAACCCACUCCUUCCCUGGCCAUGUCCCCUUCUGCCUCUCAAGAUGUCACACCACAACUCUCCAAAUGUGAUGCUUCCAAGAGGCUUUGUCAGCGUCUUCGUUGCCUCUCACUUUCGCCCACUCCCAAUGAGGCCCCCAUGCUCCUGCCAGUGUUGGCAGUCAGGCCCAGACCUCAACAGUCUCUUCCUCCCAGAGAGUUCUCUCUCCACUAGCAGGCUGUGUCGCAGCUGAUAGAUUCUUUGCUGUGUUUUUCUUAUUCCCCCCCCCCUCUUUUUCUGUUUUAAAACCUGACAUUCUGUUUACUGUAGGAUUACUGCUUUUGUAUGUUUUAAAAAUUUGACAGCUGCUUUAUUCAACUCCCCAGUGUGGAGGAACUGUGAUAAGACAGAUAUGGGUUUCUAAUCUUUUCCCAGCCUAAAUCUUUUCCAAAUCUUCUAUUAUUCUCUCCCUCCCCAUCAUUCCUGCUAUAAAAAUA